rnacentral:rRNA from 1 species
GGGGAACUGAAACAUCUAAGUACCCCGAGGAAAAGAAAUCAACCGAGAUUCCCCCAGUAGCGGCGAGCGAACGGGGAGCAGCCCAGAGUCUGAAUCAGCUUGUGUGUUAGUGGAACGGUCUGGAAAGUCCGACGGUACAGGGUGAUAGUCCCGUACACCAAAAUGCACAGGCUGUGAACUCGAAGAGUAGGGCGGGACACGUGGU